rnacentral:rRNA from 1 species
UACGGGGGGGGCAAGCGUUGUUCGGAAUUACUGGGCGUAAAGGGCUCGUAGGCGGCCAACUAAGUCAGACGUGAAAUCCCCAGGCUCAACCUGGGAACUGCGUCUGAUACUGGAUGGCUUGAAUCCGGGAGAGGGAUGCAGAAUUCCAGGUGUAGCGGUGAAAUGCGUAGAUAUCUGGAGGAAUACCGGUGGCGAAGGCGGCAUCCUGGACCGGCAUUGACGCUCAGGCACGAAAGCGUGGGGAGCAAACAGG